GAAAGAAAAUCUGCAAAUGCAAAUGUGAUAUGUCUGAAUUUUUUGACCAUGGUGAUAUCUUGAAAUUAAAAGAGAAGAAGACAAUAUAAAUAGUAUUUUUGAUGCAUCAUCUUAAAUUACAAAACUAACAAAGCCCAUGAAAUUAAAAAGGUAAAAGAAAAUAUAAUUAUUAGGUGAUUACGGUAAUUAAAUAACAACUCGUAAAAUAUUCUAACGGUUCAUUUGUGUAUUCUCUUAUCAUUGACAUACACAAAUGCUUUUAUGACACCUCCUUCUUGCAGGAUAAUGACAAUUUGGACAAUCACGAUCACGAAUACAGGGUCCAGAAGCUGUAAUGUAAAAAGCGAAAAAAGAAUUAAUGUUACUAAAAUGAGAUAAAUAUUGUGUGUGAAGUAAAGAAUGAAAUUUCAAAAGGUGAUAAGAAAGGCUUACGCUGAAAAUAUUGCGUUGAAACAAGAAAUUGGGAAAGAAGGAUAAUUAUAACAUAAACAAACUUAAAAAAUUUAUCCAUAUUUUCCACCAUUUGCAUGAAAAUUUAUCACUUUUUGAUUUAUAAAGCUCAUAAUCUCCUUACAUCAAUUAAAUAGUUUUUAACACUUAUCAAAUUGUUAAAAGACUUCCUAAAAUAGAUAUAAUUAUUGUAUGUCUCUUAAGAACACCAAUGUCUUAAUUUGCCCCUUUAGCACCUCUCUAGUAAGGAGAUCACAUAAAAAUUUAAUAAUCACAAUUAGUCUUUUUUUUUUUUUAACAAAUUUCAUUAUUUUAUAACCUUUCAUAAUAGAAAAGGAAAAAUUACAAAAUAAAAAUAAUAUUUUUUGUGACACUUUAAACCCCAUAGAUAUAAUUGAAAGUGCUUGACCAAAUGAGGGAGGGGAGAUUUGAAUUGUGUUAACCGAUUUCAAAUUUUAUUUUAGUUUGGUAGAUCUUUUCUUUCUUUCUUAUAAAUCGAAUAAAGAAAUAGGUUCUUUACCAAAACAUUUAAAUGAAGUUAGAUAUAUAAAUUAGAAUGGGUCAUGAUCAAAUGACACCAACUAAUUUAAAUAUAUUAAUUAUACGAUGAACUUAAAAAAAAUUAAAAAGUUGCUUGUGCUUUAUUACAAAAAAUAGAGCACUAUAUAUUUAUAAUAACUAAGUUAAACUGUUUUAUGCCUAAAUUUUUUUUAAUGAUAAAUUGUUAAUCGUUGGUAUAUUAUAUAGGCUUAAAUGCAUUUUUUUUCCCCUUAUUUUCAAAAAAAUGAAGUUUUGGUCCCCUAUUUUAAAAACCAACUUUUUAGUCCCCCUAUUUUUAUUUUUUUUGAGUUUUGAUCCCCCAUCCUAUUUUGGGGUUAAUUUUGUUGAUGUGGCCUUGUAACUAAUGAUGUGGCAACAUUCAUGUGGAAAAAUUUAAUAUCCAUGUCAUUAUUAUAUAUUUUUAAAUUCAAUAAAACUUUAUUUUAAAAAUUAUUUUAAUUGUUAGAAUUAUAUAUUCAACUGAAAUAAUCUAUAUAUAUAAUUCCUAGAUAGUUCUCCUACUAUCCAUCUUAACCCUAAUCCACAUCACCCACUUACAUCCAAUUAAAUCACACAAUAAUGCCACAUCACCCACUUACAUCCAAUUAAAUCACACNNNNNNNNNNNNNNNNNNNNNNNNNNNNNNNNNNNNNNNNNNNNNNNNNNNNNNNNNNNNNNNNNNNNNNNNNNNNNNNNNUUUUUUUUUUGAUAAGCUCUAACGGUUCAUUUGUGUAUUCUCUUAUCAUUGACAUACACAAAUGCUUUUAUGACACCUCCUUCUUGCAGGAUAUAUAAUGACAAUUUGGACAAUCACGAUCACGAAUACAGGGUUUAGAAGCUGUAAUGUAAAAAGCGAAAAAAUAAUUAAUGUUACUAAAAUGAGAUAAAUAUUGUGUGCGAAGUAAAGAAUGAAAUUUCAAAAGGUGAUAAGAAAGGCUUACGCUGAAAAUAUUGCAUUGAAACAAGAAAUUGGGAAAGAAGGAUAAUUAUAACAUAAACAAACUUAAAAAAUUUAUCCAUAUUUUCCACCAUUUGCAUGAAAUUUUAUCACUUUUUGAUUUAUAAAGCUCAUAAUCUCCUUACAUCAAUUAAAUAGUUUUUAACACUUAUCAAAUUGUUAAAAGACUUCCUAAAAUAGAUAUAAUUAUUGUAUGUCUCUUAAGAACACCAAUGUCUUAAUUUGCCCCUUUAGCACCUCUCUAGUAAGGAGAUCACAUAAAAAUUUAAUAAUCACAAUUAGUCUUUUUUUUUUUUAACAAAUUUCAUUAUUUUAUAACCUUUCAUGAUAGAAAAGGAAAAAUUACAAAAUAAAAAUAAUAUUUUUUGUGACACUUUAAACCCCAUAGAUAUAAUUGAAAGUGCUUGAACAAAUGAGGGAGGGGAGAUUUGAAUUGUAACCGAUUUCAAAUUUUAUUUUAGUUUGGUAGAUCUUUUCUUUCUUUCUUAAAAUAGAUUCUUUACCAAAAUAUUUAAAUGAAGUUAGAUAUAUAAAUUAGAUGGGUCAGGAUCAAAUGACACCAACUAAUUUAGAUAUAUUAAUUAUACAAUGAACUUAAAAAAAAAAAUUGCUUGUGCUUUAUUACAAAAAAUAGAGCACUAUACAUUUAUAAUAACUAAGUUAAACUAUUUUAUACAUAAUUUUUUUUUAAUGACAAAUUGUUAAUUGUUGGUAUAUUAUAUAAUUGUUGGUAUAUUAUAAAAAUUUGUUAACUCGUUAACCCUUAGCUCAACUAGUUUAACUGAAUUAUUCAUCAUGCUCUCAAUAAGGUGAAAACAGCUUGUGUCAUUAAUCGUUUCGUAAGUCAAAACAUGAACUGCCUUAUCUUUUUCAAACACCUUGUAUCAAUAUCCAUUGAAAUAUUUCAUCUUAAUUCUACUAAUUUCCAAUAAUUUCACUUUAUUAAACUUGAUAUAUAAAACCAUUUUUCAAAGUUUGAAAAUUUAAUAUAGAACCUGGUCUUUGAAAUUAUGAGGAACUCUAUAAAAUUAAAAGAGAAGAAGACAAUAAAAUUACUACAUAUUUUUUAUGCAUCAUCUUAAAUUACAAAACUAACAAGGUCCAUGAAAUUUAAAAAGCUAAAAGAAAAUUUAAUUAUUGGAUGAUCACAGUAACUAAAUAACAGCUCAUGAAAAAUUCUAGCAGUACAUUUGUGUAUCUUAUCCUUACUAAUGACAUAAAUAGCCGCCUUUACGACAACUCCUUGUUGUAGGAUAAGGGCAGGGAAGACAAUCACGAUCACGAACACAAGGUCCCAAAGCUGUAACGUAAAAUAUUGUGUACGAAAUAAAUAAUGAAAUUUCAAAAGGAGAUACUCAAAGGUAGUAAGGUACCAGACAAGUUGCAAUUAAUUCAUCACGUCUAUGGGAUUUUUGUGAAGUUUUAAGACUAUCCAAAAAAACAUAAUGAGGCUUCUAAACAGAGCUUCAAUUUCAGAUAUCGAAGAGACAAGGCUAUUUUCUGAGUGGGUCAACAUAUAUACCGUAAGCACCAAGAUCUUCGCUUUGAGGUAACAAACUCAUGUUGCACAUUACGGUGAUCAACGGAUCGUAAGAAACCAUAUAGUCUUUCCUUUCUCUAUAAGUUUGCUUCAUAUGAUAUUAUAUGCACAAUUGACCAAAUAUCAUAGAAAAAAUAUUUUUCUCAUAGUGAUGAUGAAUGUCGAUUUGUGCUCGCAAAAACCAUGUGAAAUACACCAAUUUGCAGCGUAGACUUAGGUGAGGCAUUGAGACUUCUUCAUGCCAUCAAGUGGGUUCAUAUAGUCUUUCAUUUCUCUUUGAGUUUGCUUCAAAUGAUAUAUUAUAUGCACAGUUGACACAACUCUUAGAAAUGAGUAUUGGACCUAACUCAUCCUUACAAAACCAGCUUAUAAGGUGAGGAUUGCCUCUAGUAUAUAAAUACUUAGUCAGACCAUCUCUCAACCGAUGUCUAAAAUUAUUAUAAGUUGUAAAUUAUUCUAAGUUUUGUUGUUAAAACAUAAGAGGUAGGAGAAAUAUCAACUGAAGUGUGAGAAAAACCAAGUGUAUCAAUAUUAUGACAAAUAAACAAUAUUAUGACAAAUAAAAUUUUAGGCUUAGAAGUUAGAACUAAUAUGAAAAAUAAUUUUCAACUUAACUAAUAAAAAUAUUUUGAUAGGUUGUAGAGUAGGAAAGCAAAUGUGAUAUAUCUGAAUUUUGACCAUGUCUUGAAAUUAAAAGAGGAGAAGACAAUAUAAAUAAUAUUCUUGAUGCAUCAUCUUAAAUUACAAAACUAAUAAAGCCAGUGUGAAAUUAAAAAAGGUAAAAGAAAAUUUAAUUAUUGGGUGAUCAUGGUAAUUAAUUAAAUAACAACUCAUGGAAUUUUCUAGCAGUUCAUUUGUGUAUUCUCUUAUCCUUGACAUACACAAAUGCGAUUAAAACACCUCCUUUUUGCAGGAUAAAGGCAAGUUGGACAAUCACGAUUACGAACACAGGGUUUAGCACCUGUAAUGUAAAAAACGAAAAAAAAAAGUUACUAAAAUGAGAUAAAAUUAUGUGUGCGAAAGAAUGAAAUUUCAAAAGGAUAUAAGAAAGGCUUACGCGGUAAAUAUUGCGCUGAAACAAGAUAUUGGGAAAAAAGGAAAAUCAUAACAUAAACAAACUUAAGAAAAUUAUCCAUGUUUUCCACCCUUUGCAUGAAAUUUUAUCCCGUUUUGAUUUAUAAAUUAAAGCUCAUAAUAUCCUUACAUCAAUUAAAUAGUUUUUAGCACGUAUCAAAUUGUUAAAAGACUUUCUAAAAUUGAUAUAAUUAUUGUAUGUCUCUUAAGAACACCAAUAUCUUA
rnacentral:lncRNA from 1 species